UGGAUAGGUUAGGAGACUCAUUCAGCUUUUAGACAUUCAGCAUUAGAUGGACCAUGUCCUCCAGUCCAACACAGAUGAGAUAGUCAAUGACAUAUUAUCUCUCCAAUCCUGAUGGCAGAGUUUUCUUUAUAUACUCCGUAUAUAUCAUCGGCCGCAUAUAUGCAUGAGGAUGUGAGUCAGUUCCCCUAUGUUUCAGAGGCAGCUGUGCGUUUUGAUUAUACAACAGAAAUGAUCGACGAGAGACCUUCAUAUCAUGUUGACUAUAUAGGUGAAGGAGUUGUACAUAGCUAUCAUUAUAUAGAGAAGAAUGUGGGACC
rnacentral:lncRNA from 1 species